rnacentral:rRNA from 1 species
ACGGCGAGUGAAGCGGCAACAGCUCAAAUUUGAAAUCUGGCCUCCUUUGGGGGUCCGAGUUGUAAUUUGCAGAGGGUGCUUUGGCGUCGGCAGCGGUCUAAGUUCCUUGGAACAGGACAUCACAGAGGGUGAGAAUCCCGUACGUGGUCGCCUGCCUUCGCCGUGUAAAGCCCCUUCGACGAGUCGAGUUGUUUGGGAAUGCAGCUCUAAAUGGGAGGUAAAUUUCUUCUAAAGCUAAAUACCGGCCAGAGACCGAUAGCGCACAAGUAGAGUGAUCGAAAGAUGAAAAGCACUUUGGAAAGAGAGUCAAACAGCACGUGAAAUUGUUGAAAGGGAAGCGCUUGCAGCCAGACUUGCUCGUAGUUGCUCAUCCGGGUCCGCCCGGAGCACUCUUCUGCGAGCAGGCCAGCAUCAGUUUGGGCGACCGGAUAAAGGCCUCUGUCAUGUAUCUUCCUUCGGGAUGACCUUAUAGGGGAGGCGUAAUGCGGCCAGCCCGGACUGAGGUCCGCGCUUCUGCUAGGAUGCUGGCGUAAUGGCUGUAAGCGGCCCGUCUUGAAACACGGACCAAGGAGUCUAACAUCUAUGCGAGUGUUUGGGUGUCAAGCCCGGGCGCGUAAUGAAAGUGAACGGAGGUGGGAACCCCUCGGGGUGCACCAUCGACCGAUCCUGAUGUCUUCGGAUGGAUUUGAGUAAGAGCAUAGCUGUUGGGACCCGAAAGAUGGUGAACUAUGCUUGAAUAGGGUGAAGCCAGAGGAAACUCUGGUGGAGGCUCGCAGCGGUUCUGACGUGCAAAUCGAUCGUCAAAUUUGGGCAUAGGGGCGAAAGACUA